AGGAGAGGAAGCUUCCGGCUGGGAAACAGAGCUCCCGGCCAGGGGAAGCGGGGACUCUGCUCCUGAGCUGGGACCCGCGAUGGAAGCCCUCCCAGAUUUGGAGCAGCUGUUCCAGCUUAAGGACCCCACCAUUAUCUGGAGUUCAACCACGUAGAAGGCUGGAUUCACAGACUUCCCCUGCCCCGCUUUGCUUUGAUUUGUGAGAUAGUAACAACAAAAAUAAAAUUACAUCAAGGGUUCUUUUUUAAAAGUCACUUGAGGAUUUCAUUAUUAUUAUUUUUUUAAAAAACUGUUUGUGGCCAUGCACAGGCAAGCCUCCUCCCAAAUUCCUACACUGUUCUCAUCUGCACCUCCAGUCCUGAUCAGAUUGCCCGACUCAAGACCCUGGUACCCUGAAUGUUUUACUGAAGUGGAUUCAAGGCAUUUGGGGAAAUGUGUAAUAAUAAAUAAAAUAAGAGUUUUGGAUUAAGCCAAGACUCUCAGGAUUGGGAGACAA
rnacentral:lncRNA from 1 species